UUUCCCAAAAGCACCAUAACGCUACGCUACGUUACGACACUUACUAUGUACCUGUGUGAGUUUGACGAAAUCGUUAUUCCCGCCAACACAUUUGACAUCAAUUUCGAAGGUACAUCCUAUACAGAGAAGUGACAACAGUAGCUAUACUCGCUACUCGCUACAGAGUCGUCUGAGUCGUGCCCCUGACUAUCAACAAUGAAGCCAGUCGCAAACUAAACACGGUGCACGACGCCGUCCCAUAAAGACGCGCGGGCGCAUAUCGCGAAGCUGUAUCGUACAUGUGGCACUAUUCCAAAUUAAACGUAGGAAUAAUAUAAGUGCAUAAAAUUUUUGGACGAAAUUAUUCCCAGAAUCCAGACUUCGAUAAAAAAGCUAAAGUUACUAGGCACUGAAAUCUCUAUAAUGACGUCGCCAGCUAUUACAAAGUCUCCGGAAAACCAGAAGGCCGAGAAAAAGUCGCCUACAAACUCAGCACGCACUCCAGAGCGCGCAGCACCUGGCACCGAGACCACUGCACCCGCAGCUUCCACAUCCACGGCUCAGCCGCCGGAGACGUUCGGCUGGCUACGGAUCUUUAAACUAGCAGACCUCAUGAUGAAGCAAGGUUGCUAAAUUCUUCUCCCAAAACUUAUCUCAAUUAUCAACAUGACAUAAGCGUCUAGCAAUAAUUUAUGAGGCUAUAACUCCACUGCCAUUUUUGAAAUUGAUGGGUCGUUACUUGAUAAGAUUCAAUAAUAAAAUCCAAAACAGGAUACUAUACCUACUAUCUAUAGAACUUUUUAGUGGUUAAGUACCCAUAUAACAGUAAGAAUGAUACUUCUCUUUAACAUAUUGAUUACCUAUUCAAUCACAUCUAUACCUAAAUUAUAUAUUACAAAUGACAGUGGAGUCAUAGCCUAAAAACUGUAGGGAUAGGAAAACUAGAAUCAUUAAAUUUUAUGUACUUGUUGUUAGUAUUUACAAGUAGGGAUUAUGAUUGUUAUUAGUUGUUAAUAAUGUUAUUAAUUAAUUAAAUUGGUCAUCAAUGAAAUAUUUUACUUACUUAGAUUGCUGAGUACAAUAGUAAUGCCGCUCGUAGUUAGCAAGUGAUAAUCUGAACUCAAAUAUGUAUAAGCAUUUUGUUAAUUUUCUGUUCUCCUCUUGAAGACGACAGUAAUAAAUACCAAAAUGAUACCAUUAAAAGGUACUUUGCAUAUCAAGAAAUGGAAGAAAUGAAUUUUGUUAGAUGGUUAAGUUUUAA